rnacentral:rRNA from 1 species
UAGGGAAUUUUGCGCAAUGGGCGAAAGCCUGACGCAGCAACACCGCGUGAACGAUGAAGCUUUUCGGAGUGUAAAGUUCUGUCAGUGGGGACGAAAUUUGACGGUACCCACAGAGGAAGCACCGGCUAACUCCGUGCCAGCAGCCGCGGUAAUACGGGGGGUGCAAGCGUUGUCCGGAAUCAUUGGGCGUAAAGAGUUCGUAGGUGGUAUGUUAAGUCUGGUGUUAAAGCCCGAAGCUCAACUUCGGUUCGGCACUGGAUACUGGCAAACUUGAAUGUGGUAGAGGUAAAGGGAAUUCCUGGUGUAGCGGUGAAAUGCGUAGAUAUCAGGAGGAACAUCGGUGGCGUAAGCGCUUUACUGGGCCAUAAUUGACACUGAGGAACGAAAGCCAGGGUAGCAAAUG